rnacentral:lncRNA from 1 species
UCUGCCUAUAUUAAUCUAUUUGAUAGUUUCUGUAAAAAAAAAAAAAAGAAAAAAAAUAGUAAAAUAAAAUAGGGCACAAGAAAUUCAAUCCAAGUGUGAGUCCAAAAUAUGUAUAUGCAUGGAUUUGCCCUUGUGCACUUUCUUCGCCCUCGUCCCCGUGUUCUUCCUGGCCACGCCGUUCCAGGGGGAAGCUGAUGGGGAAGACAGCCCGGAGGAUCUCCACUACUAUUUGCACGUGUUCCUGGAGAAAGACUAUGGAGUUUUGUUGGGUGAGAUCACUGAGAAAUCAGGACAAAGUAAUUCCAUGUUCCCAGCUUGAUGAAAGUAUGGAAGAAGAACAGAUUUCUCUGCUGUUGGUUCAGUGAGGAAACAAGAAAGCACUGUUUUGAGGUCCCCCAUCACCUCCCAGCCAGCUCAUCCAGUUGCACCCCUGACAGUGAGCCAGGCCGGCUGCUAGGCAUGGAGGAGGAGGCCCAGCCCCACACUCACAGCCUAGUGUGGAAAUAGGCAUGUAAACAAAUAUCCACAAUACAGCAAGAUGCAAUAAGCACUGAUCCAAAUGGAUUUCUGAGGUUGCAAGAUAAAGUAAGCAAAUGUGCUUGGGCUGAGAGAGAGGGAAGAUCCCAGAGAGGACAUGACCUUUAAGGAGAGACCCGGAAAAAACAACGAAGAAAAAGAUACUCAGGAUAAGUUGUGCUGAUGGAGAGGGUAUGGUCGCUUUAGACAGAGUGCACCCCCCCCCCCCCAGCAAAGGCACGGUGUCAUCACAAAGCAUGGCUAAGAUAUAGGGUAUAAGUUGGGGGUAGAAAGAGAUCCAGCAGAAAAAGUCAGUAGGGCCAAAUAGUGAAGGACUUCAUGUACCAAAGCCUGGUUAAGAAGCAUCAAAUUGGGGCACCUGGGUAGCUCAGUGGUUGAGCUUCUGCCUUUGGCUAGGGUCGUGAUCCCAGGUUCCUGGGAUCAAGUCCCGCUUGGGGCUCCCCGCAAGGAGCCUGCUUCUCCCUCUACCUGUCUCUGUGUAUCUCUCAUGAGUAAA